GUUACACGUCAUGAGUUACUGACAUAUUAUAUUGGUUACACCCGUUGUAUUCAAUUUAAAGUAGUAUUAAACAUAUAUUAUAUUAGAUUUAAAACGUUAGACAAAGGAGAUCGACGCUGGAAAUAAAGAAAAUGAAGAAAGGGUCCAUAUUAUGUGUAUGUGUUUUGAUGUUAUUAAUGUCUGAAGUAGAAUGCUAUGGUAAAUAUGUCUUCAAAGGCGUUCCGUAACAGGUUUUCUAUCGAACAUAUUUGAAUUCUUGAAGGAAGCAGUCCAAAUGGUAGUGCGCACUGUAACACAUUUCGUAGCGACUUCCUGGCCAGUUGAAUCAGUAUGUGGGACAUACUUUUAUUUGAAGAAGUGCACAGAUAUUAUAAAUAACUGUGGUUUCAUUUGUGAUAUAUUAGGUCGUGUGUGUGGUAAAAUGGCAAGCAGAUAUUACCAUAACACUUUUGUGUGACAAAGACGCCACGGUUUAUUCAGUCAUAAAAGACAAUCUUAUUGAUUCAGUAUCAUAUUGGGUGAAAAAGGUUUUUUUUUAAAUGAUUAAUGAAACAGCGGGGCAGAGACUGGAUGGUCACUUUCAACAUGCGACUUAAUCUAUUACACGAUUUACAAAUAUAUCUAAGG